CAGCGCGGCCGUGCCGCGGUGACCGCCACGCUCCAGGCCGUGUGGGGCUCCAGCUCCCGGCACAGCCCCUUCCCACACCUCAGGAGUGGGCAGCAGCCUUGAGUGCCACCACCCUCUGCUGCCUGCAGAGCCACCUUCUCACCGGUGCCUGGACAAGGAUGUUCGAGUGCUUGUAGACUCUGGGAUGCAGAGUGGUUUCCCUGGGAAGAACCGAGGGUCUGCUUGCCCUGGCUGCCUCCUGUCAGUGUCCACCCCAGUGUCCACCAGUGCCUGCUGCCCUUCUGCCCAGAGGAGCUGGAAACCCGCCUGCACAUCCAGCUGAGUCGAAAAUACAUGAAAGGCAGAUUAUCAGGGGGAGACUGUCCUCAUCUCUGCCGCUCGCUUAUGGCAGUGCAAGGACCUGGAAAUACAGCUUUCAAGUUUCUCUCUGUA